rnacentral:rRNA from 1 species
UACAGAGGGGGCAAGCGUUGUUCGGAAUUACUGGGCGUAAAGGGCGCGUAGGCGGCCUGUUAAGUCGAACGUGAAAUCCCCGGGCUCAACCCGGGAACUGCGUCCGAUACUGGCAGGCUUGAAUCCGGGAGAGGGAUGUGGAAUUCCAGGUGUAGCGGUGAAAUGCGUAGAUAUCUGGAGGAACACCGAUGGCGAAGGCAGCCCCCUGGGUUAACACUGACGCUCAGGCACGAAAGCGUGGGGAGCAAACAGG